AGCACUGUGUGUGUUUGUUUGGUGAACAGAGUCAUGAAAGACAGGCACAAAACUAAUUCCCCUUUGCAAACCAGAACUCAUUGUUCACUGUAAGUUUUGAUGCAUACAAGAAAGAAUAUG
rnacentral:snoRNA from 1 species